rnacentral:tRNA from 1 species
AACGAUAUAACUCAGUGGUAGAGUAUUGAAUUCAUAAUUCAGGAGUCAAAGGUUCAAAUCCUUUUAUCGUGA